AUUGAACGCUGGCGGAAUGCUUUACACAUGCAAGUCGAACGGCAGCGCGGGAGCUUGCUCCUGGUGGCGAGUGGCGAACGGGUGAGUAACAUAUCGGAACGUACCCAGUAAUGGGGGAUAACUAGUCGAAAGAUUAGCUAAUACCGCAUACGCCCUGAGGGGGAAAGCGGGGAUCGUAAGACCUCGCGUUAUUGGAGCGGCCGAUAUCUGAUUAGCUAGUUGGUGGGGUAAAGGCCUACCAAGGCGACGAUCAGUAGCUGGUCUGAGAGGACGACCAGCCACACUGGAACUGAGACACGGUCCAGACUCCUACGGGAGGCAGCAGUGGGGAAUUUUGGACAAUGGGCGCAAGCCUGAUCCAGCCAUUCCGCGUGAGUGAAGAAGGCCUCGGGUUGUAAAGCUCUUUCGCAAGGGAAGAAACGAUACGAGCGAAUAACUCGUGUUAAUGACGGUACCUUGAUAAGAAGCACCGGCUAACUACGUGCCAGCAGCCGCGGUAAUACGUAGGGUGCGAGCGUUAAUCGGAAUUACUGGGCGUAAAGCGUGCGCAGGCGGUUUUGUAAGUCAGAUGUGAAAUCCCCGGGCUCAACCUGGGAACUGCGUUUGAAACUACAAGGCUAGAGUAUAGGAGAGGGGGGUAGAAUUCCACGUGUAGCAGUGAAAUGCGUAGAGAUGUGGAGGAAUACCAAUGGCGAAGGCAGCCCCUGGCCUAAUACUGACGCUCAUGCACGAAAGCGU
rnacentral:rRNA from 1 species